ensembl:Mt_tRNA mt-Tn mitochondrially encoded tRNA asparagine
UAGAUUGAAGCCAGAAAUAGUGUUUAGUUGUUAACUAAAUUUUUGUAGGUUUAACUCCUGCCAAUCUAG